GCAGCCAAAUGAGCGGAGACCAACCUUUCCCUCCUUUUCCAUGGGAAUCUGUGCUUGGGAAUUUGUUUCCCCAUGACAUCUUCGCUCUGGAGGGCCUGCUACCCAGACCCGUAGGCCCAAAUGCAGGCAUGACCCUUUGUCACAGUUCUGUUUGAAAGUAGCCCGGUCGCUUCCAGUUGGCGACUUCCCUCGGGUCUUUUGUGGCAUCCACAAUAGCCACGCCCACAGCCGUGUUUCAAAGGAAAGGGGCCAAGCUGAUGUCAGCAGAAGGUGUCUUUGCCAUACUUCUUGGGCGAACCAGGACCUCUGGAGAUCAGAAGCUUUCAGGCUAAUGGAGGAGAUACAGGACAGAUACAGAUGCUCUCAGGCACACGCUGCUCUGGUUCCUCGGGGUGGGGUAGGUAGACCCUCAGUUAAGUUUAGCCUCUCCAGAGCAGACCGCAGACUGAUGAUUUUGUUUUCUAGAUUCUGUGCUGAUGCCCAACUACCCCAAGGUCCACAUCACAGGGGGAUAAGAGGUGAGGCUGGGGCUCGGAGCAUAGAUCCCAGCAUCUAGAAGAAAUGGUUCUUGAAGGCACAACUGCCCAAAAGCUUUCUAGGUGGACUCGAAACCUAAUCUCACACUGACUGAACCGUUGAAAAACAAGCCACUAUUAAGGAAGAUGCGUCAUUUACAGGCAUUUGGUCUUAAUUUUAACUACUGAGCUUAACGAUGCUGAAGCAGCUCUGCCCACCUUCUGCACAAGGACUCAUUCCCAGCAUCGUUUUCAACACUCGCUAAUAAGAGCUGGGAUUUGUGUCACAUAAAAUGCCCCCUGCUCGUGCAAUUGGACUUUGAAAUGAACAUCGACUGUGUUGACUUCAGCCUCCAGGCCCGUGACUGCUUUGUACACCUCCAGCUUCCCAAGCAUUUCUUUGUCAACUGGCAUAGGAUAAUGGGCACCCAGAGUGGGCAGGGAAUGGCUCCAUUUUUUUUACCUCAUUAUUCAAAUUAGUGUGGAAUGGUACCGCUCCAACUUCAUUUUACAACCAGCAUCAGGGAAACACUGGUUCUCUCUGGAUACUCUUCCUCCUUCCAAAUUGUAGCCUCUGUGUGAACGACUCCUCCUUAGGACAGGAAACUACUGCUGAAGAAGACAAAGGCAGUCCCAGUGAGCGACUGCACCUAGACUCCAAACAAAAUGCUUGAUAAUGACAUCACCAUCCAAAGGUCCUUGGGAAACCAAGAAUCAUGACCUGGGAUUGCCAGAAUAAGCGUUUAAACCUCGAGGGUGAAAGCCGAUUCGCUCUUGCUUUCUGAGGGGUCUGAGGGAACCUGAGCAGGCCUCUCAUGUGUGGGGACAAGCAUUCAGUGGGCUUUCAAAGGACCCUUCCCCCUCCCAGGAAGGCCCAAACCCUGGCAGAGGCUUUUAUUUCCAUGUCUUAGAUGAUUUACCAAGUGCCAGCUGCUUUUCCUAAAUGAGGCCCAGCUGGAAACACACCCCCAUGGUUUCUGAGGUGCCUGUGUCUCUUGUUCUGUCUGCCCCGCCCCACAAAGCAGGAUUCUGCUCCCCAAAGCAGAACUCUCUCUGUUUCUUAGACACAGCCGGCCUGAAAUCUGAGGUGCCCCUCACCUGCCUCUUUCAGUUGUCUCUGUGUGCCUUCUCAUGACGUACCUCCCUUCAUUUGGGACUUUCAGCUCUGCUGGCUCUCUGAACACUGUUGCUAUAUCCCUGGGAUAAAGAAUGAGGCUCUGUACAUGAACCCCAUACAGGUUUGGGCAGGAGAGCUCUGACCUAGCGCUAUCAAAACCACCACAGCAAAGGAGAGCCAGCUUUCCUCUGCUGUGGUGCAAAGAAUGGGAAAUGCUCCCUGGCAGAGCAAAGCUUACCACACUAUGACCACACUCUAACUUGCCUGACUUGCAGAUAACAGCAAUCUUACUUGUGAAAAUAAUAUAUGCAGACAGUUAGAUGUUUCCCCUUAAUUAGUGGCUUGAAGUUUGAAGACAGGCGGUAUAUUCUUCUGUAGUAAUCAGUACAGGGACCUCUAUUUUAGCCAUAAAUAUCAUGUUACUGGACACUCCUCUACUACCCAAGCCAUUAAGAGCUAAUGCCUAGAUUACCGCUGUCACGACAGCAGGAACUUUCUCUUCCUCCACCUCUGUGUAGGGUUUUUACACUCCGGCAGACAUGCUUAGUCAACACUAACGCUAGACACUAACACUAAGAGCCUAGACAUGCUACUUCUUAUAUGCUCGAGGAGAACAUGAAUCCAGUUACAUUGCCUGGGUACCACCUUAGAUUAUUAUCUCAUUCUGGGGUCAUUUCUAAGUUCAUGACUUGUUCAGUCAUUACCAGGUCUCUCAGAGACCCUUUACAGCUAUAGUAGACAAACAGAUAGACCAUUGUUUUGAUUGCUAAGCAAUAGGUCAUCCUUUCUGAAGUUCAUUGAAAAGUAGAGUCCUGUCCAAGACAGACUAGAGUCCACACCUGUGUGUCAUCCACACUCCAUCCCUCAGGCUGUGUAGGGCCUUGGACAGCCAUGUAGGUGUCUGUGUCAAUGUGCUAUAUUUAUGUGUAUGUUUGUUCACAUGACUACAUAUGUACAUGGGCAUGUGUGUGUGAGGAGGUCAGUGGUCAACCUCAAGUGUCACUCCUCAGCAACCCUCUACCUUGUUAUCUUAAGACAGGGUCUCAUAAUGAAUUCUCGACUGUCCUGGAAAUUACUCUGUAGACCAGGCUACCUCCAAAGUCACAGCAAUCUGCUUGUCUCUGCUUCAAGAGUGCUUGAAUUAAAGGUGUGUGCCACCA